rnacentral:rRNA from 1 species
GUCCACGCCGUAAACGAUGGAUACUAGCUGUUGGGGCAACUUCAGUGGCUAAGCGAAAGUGAUAAGUAUCCCACCUGGGGAGUACGGGCGCAAGCCUGAAACUCAAAGGAAUUGACGGGGCCCGCACAAGCGGUGGAGCAUGUGGUUUAAUUCGAUGAUACGCGAGGAACCUUACCAAGGCUUAAAUGUAGUCUGACCGGUUUGGAAACAGAUCUUUCGCAAGACAGAUUACAAGGUGCUGCAUGGUUGUCGU